AUUGAACGCUAGUGGGAUGCCUUACACAUGCAAGUCGAACGGAGUUUCGAACGGGUGAGUAAUGUAUCGGAACGUGCCCAGUAGCGAGGUAUAACUACGCGAAGGCGUAGCUAAUACCGCAUACUAUUAGGGCGGCCUAUAGCGGAUUUGCUAGUUGGUGGGGUAACGGCUUACCAAGGUGACGAUCCGUAGCUGGUUUGAGAGGACGACCGGCCAAACUGGGACUGAGACACGGCCCAGACUCCUACGGGAGGCAGCAGUGGGGAAUUUUGGGAAAUGGGGGAAAGCCUGAUCCAGCAAUCCCGCGUGAGUGAUGAAGGUUUUCGGGUUGUAAAGCACUUUUGGUAGGAAAGCGGUACCUGAAGAGAAAGCAACGGCUAACUACGUGCCAGCAGCCGCGGUAAUAC
rnacentral:rRNA from 1 species